UACGAACCGUCCAAACGUUAUUCGGAUUUAUUGGGCUUAAAGGGUAUGUAGGCGGCCCUUCAAGUCGGGUGUGAAAACUCUGGGCUCAACCCGGAGAGGCCACUCGAUACUGCUGUGACUUGAGUCUGGUAGGGGAGCACGGAAUUCCUGGUGUAGCGGUGAAAUGCACAGAUAUCAGGAGGAACACCGGUGGCGAAGGCGGUGCUCUGGGCCAGUACUGACGCUGAGGAGCGAAAGCGCGGGGAGCGAACAGG
rnacentral:rRNA from 1 species